rnacentral:rRNA from 1 species
UGGGGAAUAUUGCGCAAUGGCCGAAAGGCUGACGCAGCGACGCCGCGUGGGGGAUGAAGCAUUUCGGUGUGUAAACCCCUGUUGCCCGGGACGAACAAGCAGAUUUUUCUGCUCUGACGGUACCGGGUGAGGAAGCACCGGCUAACUCCGUGCCAGCAGCCGCGGUAAUACGGAGGGUGCGAGCGUUGUCCGGAAUCACUGGGCGUAAAGGGCGCGUAGGCGGUCUGCUAAGCGUGCGGUGAAAGCCCGGGGCUCAACCCCGGGUCUGCCGUGCGAACUGGUGGACUAGAGCACUGUAGAGGCAGGUGGAAUUCCGGGUGUAGCGGUGGAAUGCGUAGAGAUCCGGAAGAACACCGGUCGCGAAGGCGGCCUGCUGGGCAGUAGCUGACGCUGAGGCGCGACAGCGUGGGG